GGGGGAGAUCUAGACAUCUCUAUGCACUUUUGGAUUGGCUACAUGGUAGACAUUGAUAUAAUAGGAAGGAGGCUCUAUGGCAAGCUUUGAUUGAUCGGUUUGCUAUAUCAGCUAUGGUCAAAUCUAAGGCAUAUCAAAGGAUAUCUGAUUUAAGGACUUAAGGAUGCAAUAGCCUGGGAGAAUCUUCAAAGAGUGAUGAGAAUAGAGUUUUUUUAGUAUCGUGUUCCUAUGGCUUCCUUGCUCUUGUUCUUUUGUAAAAGGGAUGAUCUUUUGCAUGCCUUUUUCCAAGGGAAAACAUUAUGUUGAAAUAUCUUUUUUAGUACCUCCAUUUUCGAAGGUGUCAAGCUAGUAAGUGGGUAAGGUACGUAAUUGCAUGAAUAUGGUAGGAUGCAUAGCAAGCUAGCUAACUAGGCUAGUGGCAAUCUCAAGCUUGUGGUAUUCUGAAUCUUUAACUCAACCAGAAAUUGGUCCAUGCUCGGUCUAACCAUAACUUGAGUCAAUUUUCAAGAUAGUUUAUGCUAAUCAAUAAACUUAAGUGGGCUAGUUCAUGGAUGCCAACUAUUUCAACUAGUAAAGUUGCUAGGAAAUUGUUACCAAAGACCUAAGUCUAGAUCAUGCUUGCACCACUUUAAUUUAUUAGCUUAAUAAAUUGGAUGGAGACCCAAACUACCUAUUGUCUCAUAGGAAAUGCAAUUGUUGUUUCCUUCAAAAUAAACUAGUUCACAAAUAGAAACACA
rnacentral:lncRNA from 1 species